AGCCGGUGGAGGUACCUGUUCCGCAGAGCUGGCUGCCUCCUCACUAUCUCUGGAGGACGUGGGAACAUCCCCGCCGCUCUCCGCCCACUUCAGCUGCUUUGCAUCUUGAGCUUUCAGACUCAGGGCAUUUCUUUUUCCAAAACGGGUCAGGAAACCAUCUGGAGUUGGCCCAGGUCCGACUUUGAAACCGGACCCGUCCAACCUAGAAACCGGUCCGGUUCCGGUUCUGACCAAUUCUAAGUCAGACUAUUUCCGACUUCAGAACCAGCCCAGUCCACCUUCAGACUGGGUCUGACUGAAAACUGGCCCAGGGCCUGUGAGGCCUCAGGUGAAUACAAUUUUAUUUUAAAGCUGAACAGCAGGUGAACCUUACCAAAGGGAAUCCUGAAUUACAGUGGCCGCGGUGGAGAACGUCUCUCUGAGAAAGUCUCAGUCCGUUUAGGCGAGCUUCGAGACAAAGGGCCUCAGCCAGUCACCGCAGCGUACCAACCGCAGAGGGAAGGUUAUUUUCCGCCUCCGCGGUUGCUGGUGACCAGGAUGAGAACUGAGAGGACACCCUGCUCACUCGGGAGCCUGCAGACGGCUUCCCAGGAAAAUGGGGCAAGCCAACAAAGGGUAAUAUCAAUGCACUUUGCUUCAUGUUCAAGAAACUGGGCUGCAGACUACCAUCUAAUGUUUUCUCUAGCUACAUGCAGGAAUCCUUCAACCCAUCUGGUCUACCAUACUAGCACUUUGCCUUUGCACUUGCAUUUAUGAGGAAAUGCCUGAUGGGCACUACUAGCAGAUAUAUCUCGAGAUACCACCUUCAUCUGACAUUAUCAGGACCAUACAACUGGCCCUUACCAAGUGGCUAUGAGCAUAAGCUGCCUUGACAAACAAGGAGUCCUGCUUAAGAUGAUGUUGCACAAGACAACAAAGUCUCCCACAGGAGGGACCUGAGUGAUUCUGUAUAGCAGAACUUUCCAUCCACUAACCCAAGCUGUGAGGCACUACAAGCAAGAGAUAAAAUUUUGCGUAUUAAGCCAAUGGGAGUUACAUUUAAUCUGUAAUUGAGAUGUAAUAAAAUAAUAUAUAUUUAUAA